rnacentral:rRNA from 1 species
GUCCACGCCGUAAACGAUGAGUGCUUGAUGUUGGGGGGCCUAGCCCCUCAGUGUCGUAGCUAACGUGAUAAGCACUCCGCCUGGGGAGUACGGCCGCAAGGUUAAAACUCAAAGGAAUUGACGGGGGCCCCGCACAAGCGGUGGAGCAUGUGGUUCAAUUCGACGCAACGCGAAGAACCUUACCAGCUCUUGACAUGGGACGUAUGGGGCCGAGAGAUCGGCUCCUUCAGUUCGGCUGGCGUCCACACAGGUGCUGCAUGGCUGUCGU